GCCGCCAGCACACCUGCCAGUCACACCCCAGCUGGAGCACACGAGACAGAGUUUCACUUUAUUGCCCUCGGUAGAGUGCCGUGGCGUCACACGGCUCACAGCAACCUCCAACUCCUGGGCUUAGGCGAUUCUCCUGCCUCAGCCUCCGGAGUAGCUGGGACUACAGGCGCCCGCCACAACGCCCGGCUAUUUUUUUGUUGCAGUUUGGCCGGGGCUGGGUUUGAACCCGCCACCCUCGGCAUACGGGGCCGGCGCCCUACUCACUGAGCCACAGGCGCCCCCCGGAGAAAGUAAUUUCUUAAGUAGGGUCUUCAAGCCUUUCAUUCUAUGUUCACUAAAGUAUGGCUUUAUUUAAUAAGUAAAUAAACAAAUAUAUAUAUGUAUAUGUAUACAGUUUUAGCUUUUUUUUUUUUUUGAGACAGAGUCUUACUCUGUUGCUCUUGGUAGAGUGCUGUGGCAUUAUAGCUCAUGGCAACCUCAAACUCCUGGGCUCAAGCGAUCCCCUUGCCUCAUCCUCUUGAGUAGCUGGGACUACAGGCACCUGCCACAACACCUGGCUAGUUUUUAGAGAUGGGAAUCUCACUCUUGCUCAGGCCAGUCUCGAACUCCUGAGCUCAAGCAAUCCACCUGCCUUAGCCUCCCAGAGUGCUAGGAUUACAAGUGUGAUUAUGCCUGGCAAUUACUAUUAUUUUUGAGUCAGAGUCUCACUCUGUUGUCCAGGCUAGAGGGCUGUGGUGUCAGCCUAGCUCACAGCAAACUCAAACUCUGGGGCUCAAGUGAUCCUCCUGCCUCAGCCUCCCAAGUAGCUGGGACUACAGGCGCCCACCAGAACACGGGCUAAUUUUUCUGUUUUUAAUAGAGAUGGGCUUGCUCUUGCUCUACUGACCUCAAGUGAACCUCCUGCCUUGGCCUCCCAGAGUGCUAGGAUUAUAGGUGUGAGCCACUGCACCUGUCCUGAUUCAUUAUUUUUGCUUAGAACUUUUCUUCUUCUUACGAGAGGCAAAAGGAUAAUUUAUUAUUUUUUUUAUUAAGUCAUAGCUAUGUACAUUAAUGCAGUCAUGGGGUACAAUGUGCUGGUUUUAUAUACAAUUUGAAAUAUUUUCAUCAAACUGGUUAACAUAGCCUUCAUGCUCAGAAGUUUUUUAAUGGUUCUAUAUAUAAGGUCACACUAAAAUACGUGAAAAUGCCUCUCCUUAAAAAGAAGUCACCCCUAUUUGUUGACAAGAAAAGUUAAGAGGGUGGCGCCUGUGGCUCAAGGAGUAGGGCGCCGGUCCCAUAUGCCGGAGGUGGUGGGUUCAAACCUAGCCCUGGCCAAAAACCACAAAAAAAAAAAAAAAAAAAAAAAGAAAAGUUAAGAAAAGACAGACGACUAUUCCUGGUUUAGUUCAAUGUAAGAGAGCAGAAUGACGGUAUGCACGAUUCUGGAAUAUUUUUGUAUUCUUUUUUUUUUUUUUUU